rnacentral:rRNA from 1 species
CUGACUGCUAUCGGAUUGAUACUAAGCCAUGCGAGUCAUUGUAGUAAUACAAGGCAGACGGCUCAGUAACGCGUAGUCAACCUAACCUAUGGACGGGAAUAACCUCGGGAAACUGAGUAUAAUGCCCGAUAGAACAUUAUGCCUGGAAUGGUUUAUGUUCCAAACGAUUUAUCGCCGUAGGAUGGGACUGCGGCCUAUCAGUUUGUUGGUGAGGUAAUGGCCCACCAAGACUAUUACAGGUACGGGCUCUGAGAGGAGUAGCCCGGAGAUGGGUACUGAGACACGGACCCAGGCCCUAUGGGGCGCAGCAGGCGAGAAAACUUUGCAAUGUGCGAAAGCACGACAAGGUUAAUCCGAGUGGUUUCUGCUAAAGGAACCUUUUGUCGGUCCUAGAAACACCGAUGAAUAAGGGGUGGGCAAGUUCUGGUGUCAGCCGCCGCGGUAAAACCAGCACCUCAAGUGGUCAGGAUGAUUAUUGGGCCUAAAGCAUCCGUAGCCGGCUCUGUUAGUUUUCGGUUAAAUCUGUACGCUCAACGUACAGGCUGCCGGGAAUACUGCAAAGCUAGGGAGUGGGAGAGGUAGACGGUACUCGUAGGAAGGGGUAAAAUCCUUUGAUCUAUUGAUGACCACCUGUGGCGAAGGCGGUCUACCAGAACACGUCCGACGGUGAGGGAUGAAAGCUGGGGGAGCAAACCGGAUUAGAUACCCGGGUAGUCCCAGCUGUAAACUAUGCAAACUCAGUGAUGCAUUGG